rnacentral:lncRNA from 1 species
CACCUUCCUCAUCUCUGGUCUCAUUGAGUCAUGUGGAACAAGGUAUCGUCAACACAACAUAAAUGACAAAGUAUCAUGCAGUAUCAACCAGCAGCAGCCAGAAAGUUAGGAUAGAAGAUAGAUUAGCUGCACUUUUCUGAGCAUGCUUCUCUUUAUUCUCUGGGAAAGGAUCUCCAAGAGUACCAAUUCUCUGUAAGCCAAUGCAGAGCUUUCCCUGGUGAAAUCAUCCCAGAGAUCUUCAGAAAAUCAGUGAAUAAGGAUUAAAAAAAAAGGGCAUUCAUUCAGAUGUUCUGUUCAGGACUGGAUUCAUGUAGAUGGUAGGUUGUUUUUUUUUUUUUUGGUGUUAAUGCCCCUCUUCCUUUUU